GAUGAAGAACGUAGCGAAAUGCGAUAAGUAAUGUGAAUUGCAGAAUUCAGUGAAUCAUCGAAUCUUUGAACGCACAUUGCGCCCCCUGGUAUUCCGGGGGGCAUGCCUGUCCGAGCGUCAUUACAACCCUCAAGCUCAGCUUGGUGUUGGGCCCCGCCGCCCCGGCGGGCCCUAAAGUCAGUGGCGGUGCCGUCCGGCUCCGAGCGUAGUAAUUCUUCUCGCUCUGGAGGUCCGGUCGUGUGCUCGCCAGCAACCCCCAAUUUUUUUCAGGUUGACCUCGGAUCAGGUAGGGAUACCCGCUGAACUUAAGCGUAUCAAUAAGCGGAGGA
rnacentral:misc_RNA from 1 species